rnacentral:ribozyme from 1 species
UUAAUACCAAAGAACAGAAAAGUAGUGGCACAUUAUGCCACACAUUUGAAAUUGCAAGUUUUUUUUCUGGUUUCUCUACAUUUAGCCUUGAUUUGUG